GGGGUAUAGCUCAGUGGUUAGAGCAGGGCGCUCAUAACGCCUUUGUCGGGGGUUCAAGUCCCUCUACCCC
rnacentral:tRNA from 1 species